rnacentral:rRNA from 1 species
UACGUAGGGGGCAAGCGUUGUCCGGAUUUAUUGGGCGUAAAGAGCGUGUAGGCGGUUAGGUAGGUCCGUUGUGAAAACUCGAGGCUCAACCUCGAGACGCCGAUGGAAACCAUCUAACUAGAGUCCGGAAGAGGAGAGUGGAAUUCCUGGUGUAGCGGUGAAAUGCGCAGAUAUCAGGAGGAACACCAAUGGCGAAGGCAGCACUCUGGGACGUGACUGACGCUGAGACGCGAAAGCGUGGGGAGCGAACAGG